rnacentral:rRNA from 1 species
UACGGAGGGUGCAAGCGUUAAUCGGAAUUACUGGGCGUAAAGCGUGCGCAGGCGGCUUGUUAAGUCCGCCGUGAAAUCCCCGAGCUCAACUUGGGAAUUGCAGUGGAUACUGGCAAGCUGGAGUAUGGUAGAGGAAGGUGGAAUUCCCGGUGUAGCAGUGAAAUGCGUAGAGAUCGGGAGGAACACCAGUGGCGAAGGCGGCCUUCUGGACCAAUACUGACGCUCAUGCACGAAAGCGUGGGGAGCAAACAGG